AACUUUCAACAACGGAUCUCUUGGUUCCGGUAUCGAUGAAGAACGCAGCGAAAUGCGAUAAAUAAUGUGAAUUGCAGAAUUCAGUGAAUCAUCGAGUCUUUGAACGCACAUUGCGCCCCCUGGUAUUCCGGGGGGCAUGCCUGUCCGAGCGUCAUU
rnacentral:rRNA from 4 species